UUAAGCGAGGAGGGAGGCUACUUUAGAUAAUACCUAGAGAUAGUGGACGUUACUCGCAGAAUAAGCACCGGCUAACUCUGUGCCAGCAGCCGCGGUAAUACAGAGGGUGCAAGCGUUAAUCGGAUUUACUGGGCGUAAAGCGCGCGUAGGCGGCUAAUUAAGUCAAAUGUGAAAUCCCCGAGCUUAACUUGGGAAUUGCAUUCGAUACUGGUUAGCUAGAGUGUGGGAGAGGAUGGUAGAAUUCCAGGUGUAGCGGUGAAAUGCGUAGAGAUCUGGAGGAAUACCGAUGGCGAAGGCAGCCAUCUGGCCUAACACUGACGCUGAGGUGCGAAAGCAUGGGGAGCAAACAGGAUUAGAUACCCUGGUAGUCCAUGCCGUAAACGAUGUCUACUAGCCGUUGGGGCCUUUGAGGCUUUAGUGGCGCAGCUAACGCGAUAAGUAGACCGCCUGGGGAGUACGGUCGCAAGACUAAAACUCAAAUGAAUUGACGGGGGCCCGCACAAGCGGUGGAGCAUGUGGUUUAAUUCGAUGCAACGCGAAGAACCUUACCUGGCCUUGACAUAGUAAGAACUUUCCAGAGAUGGAUUGGUGCCUUCGGGAACUUACAUACAGGUGCUGCAUGGCUGUCGUCAGCUCGUGUCGUGAGAUGUUGGGUUAAGUCCCGCAACGAGCGCAACCCUUUUCCUUAUUUGCCAGCGAGUAAUGUCGGGAACUUUAAGGAUACUGCCAGUGACAAACUGGAGGAAGGCGGGGACGACGUCAAGUCAUCAUGGCCCUUACGGCCAGGGCUACACACGUGCUACAAUGGUCGGUACAAAGGGUUGCUACACAGCGAUGUGAUGCUAAUCUCAAAAAGCCGAUCGUAGUCCGGAUUGGAGUCUGCAACUCGACUCCAUGAAGUCGGAAUCGCUAGUAAUCGCGGAUCAGAAUGCCGCGGUGAAUACGUUCCCGGGCCUUGUACACACCGCCCGUCACACCAUGGGAGUUUGUUGCACCAGAAGUAGCUAGCCUAACUGCAAAGAGGGCGGU
rnacentral:rRNA from 1 species